AACGAACACUGGCGGCAUGCCUAACACAUGCAAGUCGAACGAGACCUUCGGGUCUAGUGGCGCACGGGUGCGUAACGCGUGGGAACCUGCCCUUAGGUUCGGAAUAACUCCCCGAAAGGGGUGCUAAUACCGGAUAAUGUCUUCGGACCAAAGAUUUAUCGCCUUUGGAUGGGCCCGCGUUGGAUUAGCUAGUUGGUAGGGUAAAAGCCUACCAAGGCGACGAUCCAUAGCUGGUCUGAGAGGAUGAUCAGCCACACUGGGACUGAGACACGGCCCAGACUCCUACGGGAGGCAGCAGUGGGGAAUAUUGGACAAUGGGCGAAAGCCUGAUCCAGCAAUGCCGCGUGAGUGAUGAAGGCCUUAGGGUUGUAAAGCUCUUUUACCCGGGAUGAUAAUGACAGUUCCGGGAGAAUAAGCUCCGGCUAACUCCGUG
rnacentral:rRNA from 1 species